AGGACGAACGCUGGCGGCGUGCCUAACACAUGCAAGUCGAACGAGGUUCAUUCAGUAGCAAUACUGGAGAAGACCAAGUGGCGAACGGGUGAGUAGCACGUGAGCAACCUACCCCGAAGACCGGGACAACACCGGGAAACCGGUGCUAAUACUGGAUAUCCCCAUCGGAUCGCAUGGUUUGAUGAGGAAAUGGAUUCCGCUUCGGGAGGGGCUCGCGGCCUAUCAGCUAGUUGGUGAGGUAACGGCUCACCAAGGCGUCGACGGGUAGCUGGUCUGAGAGGACGAUCAGCCACACUGGGACUGAGACACGGCCCAGACUCCUACGGGAGGCAGCAGUGGGAAUCUUGCACAAUGGGCGAAAGCCUGAUGCAGCAACGCCGCGUGAGGGACGAAGGCUUUCUGAGUUGUAAACCUCUUUCAGCAGGGACGAUUAUGACGGUACCUGCAGAAGAAGCACCGGCCAACUACGUGCCAGCAGCCG
rnacentral:rRNA from 1 species